UAAGAUAAGAACAGUUCUACAGGGAGCUGGGGAGACUCCCGCGGGAUUCUUAGAAAGACUAAUGGAAGCAUACCGCAUGUAUACACCGUUUGAUCCGGCAAGUGAAGAUAGGCAGGGGGAAGUGAUUAUGGCUUUCAUAGGACAGUCGGCACCAGACAUUCGAAAUAAGUUACAAAGACUAGAAGGAUUGCAGAAUUAUAGCUUGCAGGACUUAGUAAAAGAGGCAGAUAAAAUUUUCAAUAAGAGAGAGACUCCGGGAGAGAGAGAAGAGAGACUAAGAAAGAUGCAGGAAGAAAGAGAGGAUAAGAGAGAUAAGCGACGGAAUAAAGAACUGAGCCGUAUCUUGGCCACUGUAGUUCAUAACAAGCAAAUAACAUCCCAGGGAACUGAGAUAGGGAGACAGUUUAAGGAACAGGGAGGUGAGCGGCGAAACCGUUUAGGGAAAGAUCAAUGUGCUUACUGUAAAGAAAACGGCCAUUGGGCAAAGGAUUGUCCCAACAAUCCUAGAAACAAGAAAAGGCAGACCUCAGUUUUGACUUUAAAAGACUAGGCCAGUCGGGGCCAGGAGCCUCCCCCUGAGCCCAGGCUAACUCUGUCUGUGGGAGGCAAGCCCACCACGUUUCUAGUAGACACCGGGGCUCAACAUUCAGUUUUGACAACUACUGAUGGACCUAUGAGCCAGAAGACCUCGUGGGUACAGGGAGCCACAGGAGGACGCGCGUACCGGUGGACGACUGAUCGGCGGGUCGACUUAGCUACAGACUGAGCCCGGCGAGCCAACCUUUAUUUGCUUUUGAAUGGAGAGAUCCGGAACAUGGAGUAAGUGGGCAACUGACUUGGACUCGAUUGCCACAAGGCUUCAAAAAUUCCCCCACCAUCUUUGAUGAGGCCCUACAUCAAGACUUGGUGGCAUUCAGAUUAAAUAACCCCAAUCUGACUCUCCUCCAAUAUGUAGAUGAUCUCUUGCUGGCAGCACCUACCAGAGAGGCCUGC